UUUUGCUUCCUCUUUGUUUAUACACGUUUUUUUGGUCAAAAGUUCCGCGUUUUUUCGUCGGUUUUUCGGUGUUCCGUGUUUCCGAAAUCCAUAUUUGGGAGCAGAGCAGUGACGAUUGUGGUGGUAUCCGGACAUCACCUGCUUCCAUGAACAAAUCUGUUACCACCGGCUGGCCACAGCAUCGGUACGUUGACCACAUAUGCCAUUAAAGGAGUUGGAGUGAGAAGUGAUGUGACUUCUUGGGACCGGUGAAACUGAGAUGAAACUUGAAAAUUGAACUCGACAUCAAGACUCCCAGUUGGCAUCUGUGGAUCGGCCAACCUUAAUCAAUGAACAAAAUUGUUGCAUUUAAAAACUAUUUAGGGGCGAAGGAAUGUGGCGGCAGCUCCGGAAUAAAAGUGAUCCAGUCGUAAGGCGGUGCGUGGAUGUCGCAGCUUCCGGUGGCGUCUGGAGGCACAGCUACCGAGCAGCCACACAAGGAAUUCUUGACCCGUCAUGCAAACCUUGCUUUGCUUGUUGGUGGCAUUACACCCGGCUGUUAUCGCAUUUAAUCGAGGAUAUAUUGGAUUAUUCCGUUGGAUGUCUAGAAAGACAUCGCAUUGGCCGGAGGAUAUCCGUCAGAUGGAGUGUUCAGCAGGGAUCAUGGACAUGCUCCCAUUGAAGCUGAAAGGGCGUUGAAUUUAGAUGAUCGGACCUAGGAUCGGACGGAAGUAAAGACGAAUGCUGUGGUCAAGAUAAAGUAAGUACUGCAAUUCAAAUGCAAAUAAGACGCUGCCACCCACUACGCCCACCACAAUAGGUCAUAUGAAUAAAGCUGAGAAAAUACUCUACUAAUAAUCUAUGUAAAGCCGUGGAGCAAAACCCUGUGAAUCUUCCUCGGAAUCUUCACAGAGAUAUGAGUAAAGAGUAUUUACUCAUCUAGCUGUCUCACAAUAAAUUCAGCUAAAUUUUUGAGUGCCGUUGGGGCCUACUACAAUUAAGUAGGCAAUUAAUUGAAUCAGUUAAAAGAUAACCUGGAAAUUGCGGUGGGAGAAUAACAAGCGGCAACAUCUUUUAGGAAAAACAAUGGUAAAAGCAAAUGUCUUUUCUAUUUCUGUUAACGGAAGGCUAUGAAACAGAACAUUUUAAAGUCUUGGAAUUUACGUUUAAUAGCACCUCGGGUUAGAUGAAUCUACGACUCGUGCAACCAAAUGAUAUCUUUGGGUAAUAGGCUUCCAGUCUGUCCAUAAACUACGUAGACUCUGUGGAAGUAGAGGAGAUUCUGACCAAAGUCUACGGUCGAUACAAAUUGCAAAAAUUGUGUAUGGAAAAAAGUCUGCGACGGGGAGGACGGGUCUGAGAUGUUCAAGAUUGAGUCUACGUAGUUUAUGGGCUGCGCCUUUCUAGACCACAGGAAAUCUCAUUCGGGGAAAAGUACCACACACGUUUCGUAUUGAAGUGGCCGUAUCAGGAACACCUUUUUAAUCUUGAUUUACGAGUUUUUUAACGCGAAGCUAGCUCAUCUCGAGACUCAAUGCUAAACUUCCUUUACGAAGGAAGAAUCCUCAUUUUACGAGUUAGUCGUUAGUGGGAUUCGAUCCUUAGCCCUUUGUCGUGAUAGGCAUGAGCUCACACCAUUCCAUGAACACUUGGGAAAUGUAUUAUUGUUUUGACGUCAGUCGCGCCCGGAACCGCAAUACUGUAUCGACAGCAGCAUUAAUUUCACGCAGCUUGAAUACUGCAAAUUUACAUUUUAAUCGGUAAUUUACAAUCAAGUUAGUUCACGAGACAGAAAGAUCCCUAACAGCAGUGCAGUUUCUACCGGGCUCACUGAUAGAACAACACUGCCUAAUCGAUUGUUCAUAGGCAGCGCCAGUGCUUGUAGUCGUCAACUUUGCUUGUUACCAGUUUCACUAAGUACCAAACGUAUUGAAUCUGUACGCAAUAAUUAUCAUAAAGUUCUGUUUACCAUACCUUCAUUAAAUUUUCAUUUAUGCACAAGUUUUUGUUUGUUCCGAUUUUCAAAAGCAGGAUUCUUAAUUUGAUUCUAAAUUCUAAUCAAGAUGGUGAGCUACUUCCUAACGAGGUGUAUUAUGAUUCCCGGUAUUCAUUAGUUUGUGUCACGCAAACAUUCGGUUAUUCACACGGAUCUGAAAAUUUCGUUCUAAAAAUAAUUCGAUAAUAUCGAAUAGAAUUCAAUCCAAUUCACAAUUGUGACAAAGUAGGCAUCUCAGAAUCCCGGUAUAUAUUUUAUGCAAUUCAGUAUCAUAAUAUCUAUUUUAUUAUACUCUUUUGAGUUGCAUAAUGGCCUACUUAU